AGUUUGAUCCUGGCUUAGGAUUAACGCUGGCGGCGUGCCUAAUACAUGCAAGUCGAAUGGUAGUAGCAAUACAAACCAUGGCGAACGGGUGAGUAACACGUAGGCAACCUGACUUUAAGACGAGGAUAACCGUUGGAAACGACGGAUAAUACUGGAUAGGACAUCACAAAGGGCAUCCUUAGAUGUUUAAAGGUUAUUAUGCCACUUAGAGAGGGGCCUGCGGCGCAUUAGCUAGUUGGUGAGAUAACAGCCCACCAAGGCGAUGAUGCGUAGCCGGACUGAGAGGUUGAACGGCCACAAUGGAACUGAGAACGGUCCAUACUCCUACGGGAGGCAGCAGUAGGGAAUUUUCGGCAAUGGGCGCAAGCCUGAACCCGAGCAACGCCGCGUGAACGAAGAAGUUAUUCGUAAUGUAAAGUUCUUUUAUCUGGGAAGAAAAAACAAAUUGACGGUACCAGAUGAAUAAGCUCCGGCUAACUACGUGCCAGCCGCUGC
rnacentral:rRNA from 1 species